AACACCGUGGUGUAUAACAUGCAGGAUUGCAAAUCUUGAGAUGCAGAUUAAUUAUCUGCCGGCGUUU
rnacentral:tRNA from 1 species